GUGGUCAUUCUCGCUCAGGCCACCACGAAUAAGUCCUAAACCCGAGCUAGUGAACCCAAGUUUAGAUCUAAAGCCCCUCGAAACUUACAUGCAGACUUUGAUUUUGAUUCUUUAAAGAGUGAUCGACCGAUGAGAUCCUCUGUAGAAAAGGGAACCCGAUGCUUACUAACACUCGGCUAACCACCAAAUAAUAGCUACCACACGAAUGAAAAUAAAAAAUGGAACCAAGAAAGGUUGAUAACAACGGUGAUGGCUCGAACUAUCUCGGCUUGCAGCUCAUUGGUGGCUCGGCUGGAAUCUGGUGUAUUCGGAGGCGACGGCUGGCUUCGGGUUAACUCGGCGACCAGCUUACAUGGUGGCUACUGAUGUUGGCCACGGCUGCUUUAGGAGAUUAGGUAGAAUUUUGUUAGGUCUAUAUCUUCCACUAAUAAUUUUGUCUUUUUAGCCUUCCAUCUUGCACAUAAAUCCAAUUGAGGAUGGUACCCACAUCCUUAAAUCUUAUCACUGCUAUUAUGGUGCACAUGAUGCGGUCUGUUGGUGAAUAUGUCGUGAAACUGUUGGGGAGAUGUUUCGGGU